rnacentral:tRNA from 2 species
CGGGGUGUAGCUCAGCCUGGCUAGAGUGCCUGCUUUGGGAGCAGGAAGUCGUUGGUUCGAAUCCAAUCACCCCGACCA